UCCGGUUUGGCACCGGCAGUCCUCCCAGAGUCCCCGACUUGACUCGCUGGCAACUGGGAGCGGGGGUUGCGCUCGUUGCGGGACUUAACCCAACAUCUCACGACACGAGCUGACGACAACCAUGCAGCACCUCUGCGGACUCCCUUGCGGGUCAGCCAAUGUUUCCAACGGCUUACCAUCCGUAGUUCAAGCCCAGGUAAGGUUCUUCGCGUUGCGUCGAAUUAAACCACAUGUUCCACCGCUUGUGCGGGCCCCCGUCAAUUCCUUUGAGUUUUAGCCUUGCGGCCGUACUCCCCAGGCGGGAUGCUUAAUGCGUUAGCUUCGGCACGGACGGAGUCGACACCGCCCACACCUAGCAUCCAUCGUUUACGGCGUGGACUAC
rnacentral:misc_RNA from 1 species